AAACACUUUUUGCACCCACUUUUUAUAUUUGUGAGGGAAAAAAAUCAACUUGGUCAAUGACUCGUAUUCUCCAAUUGGGAAUUGAGGAGACUAAUUUAAUUUAAAAAUAAUUUCUCCUUCUUUCUCUCCUCCUCAUUAUUUACCAGGGAUUGAACUCUGGGCAUAUAACCACAUCACACCUCCAGCUCUUUUUCUUUUUUAUUUUAAGACAGAGUCUUGCUCAGUUGCUUAGGGCCUUGCGGAGUUGCUGAGGCUGGCUUUGAACUCAUGAUCUUUCCGUCUUAGACUAUUUUUAUUUUUUGACCACAUAAAUAACUUAAGGAUAAUCUUAAAAAUUUGAAAAAAGAAAAGAUACAUGAAGAUGAAAUCCGUUGUAUUAUGACUUGCUCUCUCUUUACAUACAUAUGUAAAUUUUUAGUAAAAAAAUACAUAUUGA
rnacentral:lncRNA from 1 species